GCAGCAGCAAAGGUCACUGUGGCCACAAGAGUUUGCAGCAGUAAAAAGGUACCAAUCCUUUCUUUGAACCAUUCAAUUUUGAUUGAAUUUCUCCUCUUGGAAGUUUGCCUCUUUUGUUUGUGAAUCAUCAGAUCUAAAUUUCGACGACCAAUACCAACAGACCACAAAGCACCAUUUGUUAAAUUGUAUUGGGCUCGUAUCCCACCAUUGGAGAACCUGGGACUGACAUCAAAAGCUGUUAAGCUUUCAUUGUUGAGCAGAUUUAUGUUUGUUUUCUUCUCCCAUGUUAGAGUUAGA
rnacentral:misc_RNA from 1 species